rnacentral:rRNA from 1 species
AAUCAACGCUGGCGGCGUGCCUAACACAUGCAAGUCGCACGAGAAAGGGACUUCGGUCCUGAGUAAAGUGGCGCACGGGUGAGUAACACGUGAAUCAUCUACCUUCGAGUGGGGAAUAACUGAGAGAAAUCUUAGCUAAUACCGCAUAAUACCUACGGGUCAAAGCAGCAAUGCGCUUGAAGAGGAGUUCGCGGCAGAUUAGUUAGUUGGCGGGGUAAGUAGG